rnacentral:rRNA from 1 species
UACGUAGGGUGCAAGCGUUGUCCGGAAUUACUGGGCGUAAAGGGCGCGUAGGCGGCCAUCUAAGUCAGACGUGAAAUCCCCCGGCUCAACCGAGGAAUUGCGCUUCAAACCGGCGUGCUUGAGGAAGAUAGGGGUGGGCGGAACUGAUGGUGGAGCGGUGAAAUGCGUUGAUAUCAUCAGGAACACCGGAGGCGAAGGCGGCCCACUGGGUCUUUUCUGACGCUGAGGGACGAAAGCUAGGGGAGCGAACGGG